UCCUCGGACUUCGAGUGGCGAACGGGUGAGUAACACGUAUUCAAUCUGCCCUAACGACUGGGAUACCCUCGGGAAACCUUGGCUAAUACCGGAUAGGAAAUUUUGAUCGCAUGAUCGAAAUUUUAAAGGAUCUUUUGAUUCACGAUAGGAUGAGAAUGCGGCGCAUUAGUUAGUUGGUGAGAUAAAAGCCCACCAAGACGAGGAUGCGUAGCCGACCUGAGAGGGUGAUCGGCCACAAUGGAACUGAGACACGGUCCAUACUCCUACGGGAGGCAGCAGUAGGGAGUUUUCGGCAAUGGGGGAAACCCUGACCGAGCAACGCCGCGUGAGUGAUGAAGGCCCUAUGGGUCGUAAAAUUCUGUUAUAUGGGACGAACCAUAUCAMUGAGAGAAACGGUGAUAUCUGACUGUACCAUAUGAGAAAGGAACGGCUAACUACGUGCCAGCAGCCGCGGUAAUACGUAGGUUCCAAGCGUUAUCCGGAAUUAUUGGGCGUAAAGAGUGAGCAGGCGGCUUUUCAAGUCUGAAGUCAAAUCCGGUGGCUUAACCAUCGUUCGCUUUGGAAACUAGAAAGCUAGAGUUCGGGAGAGGUAAAUGGAACUCCAUGUGUAGCGGUAAAAUGMGWAGAUAUAUGGAAGAACACCAGUGGCGAAGGCGAUUUACUAGACCGAUACUGACGCU
rnacentral:rRNA from 1 species